ACUCGGUCCAGUUUCGGUAGAAGUCCACGGAGCCAUCUUGGCGUCUCUGGAACACGGUCCAGCCACCCCCAAGGGUUUCCUGGUCACAAAAGACCUAAAGCAAAAGUAUCUCGAAGACUCUCACACCAGUAAGCUCGAGGACCAGGCAGUGGCCGGCAGAGCGGCGUAGCCAGGAUUUUUAACAGGAGGGUACCCAAAAGGCCUUUCAAGAAAAUCGAUAGCCAUUGAUUGAUGUGAUGGGUAUUGAGACCAUAAUAUCUGACCUGGAAUGCCCCCUGACCGUCGGGAUUCACCUCGUAAACACGGCUCGUGGUGCCCCCAGCAGAGAGGAUGUCAGCGCAGCUCGUUGGUAGGACUAGAAAACAAGUGGGCAAAAGAUUCGAGCGUACAUGUCGCUGUCUAGGACUUGCCAAUUGGCCAAGGUUGUAAGCCGAAGUGCUCGCUUGAUGCACAUGUGUAGUUCAGACCGUCGGAUUUGUCAGUGCACGAGCCGCCGUUUUUACAAGGGUUUGAAGCGCAAGGCAUCGCUGAUGAUG